rnacentral:tRNA from 1 species
GGAUGUAUGACAGAGAGGUUUAAUGUGUAAUAUUUGAGCUAUUAAGACUUAAAGUCCACGUGUUCGAAUCACGUUGCAUCCG